UGGUGAAAGAAAAAGAGUUCGUUUUGUUUAACACUGGGGCACAGUGAUACAGGGGCAGAGAUCUAAGUACUUAAAGUUCAUUUGGUAUAAAUAAGGUCGUAUGGUAUAAGUUCGUUCGGAAUUAAAGUUCAUUUGGUAUUGGAGUUCGUAUGGAGUAAAUAAGUUCGUUUGGAAGAAUAUAGUAUUACAGAGUUUGUUUGGGAAACAGAGUUGGUUUUGAAAUAAUGUUUGUCUGGGAAACAUAGUCUGGGAUAAAUUGUACUUUGAUCCAAGGCAGUGAGGCCAGGGUAAGUUGUGAUUCAGACAUCAGACAUAAGUCAGAAUGAGACAGUGUCUUGAUAAAAGUGAAGGAGGUAUCCCGAUGCAACAGAUGUGUUACCUGCACCCAGAACAUCAAAAACAGUUUCGACAAUUGUCUGCAGCCUUAAAUGAGAAAUUAGGGGCAACCUUGUCCACCCUGGAUCAGGAACUCAUGGAAGAAUAUGGAUUCCCUGUAACUACUCGUAUUGUUCGAAUGUCUGGACUGGAAGGAGGGACAUGGACGUGACUUCCGCAAGGCUUUAUUCAUUCACCUACAUUGCUCUCGCAGACCCUUCGGGAACAGCUGACAUCAUUAACUCUUCCCGGUGGUUCCACUGUCAUUCGAUAUGUGGAUGACCUGUUGCUGGCCAGACCGGACAAAGAGAUGAAUGACAAGGAUACUGAAUCGCUUGUGAAGGCACUGCACGGCUGGGGAUAUGUCAUUCCCUGACGGAAGGUAACGCAGGGUAAAGAAGAGGUAAAAUUCAUGGGAAUCAUGUUGAGCACCAUAGAGAGAAAACUCACUCCAGCUCACCCUACUCCCAUUACUAAUUACCCUGCCCCUCAAACACCGAAACAAAUGUUGGCCUUCUUGGGGUUGGUAAAUUUCUGCCGGCAGUGGAUUCCUAACGUAGCGACGUUAACUAGGGAACUUUCCCCUCUAGCUUCUAUUAAUGCGCCACAGUGCUUUACUCUGUCCACUCAACAGCUCGCGGUGUUUCAGGAAUUAAAAGAAGCCUUGCGCUCUGGUCCAGUGCUUGGACGACCUCUCUAUGACCAGCCAUUCCAACUUUACAUUACAGUUACGCAAGGGUGUGCCACAGUUGUGCUUACCCAAUAUCAUAGUGAUGUCCAGAAACCUGUAGCCUACUUUUCUGUCAAACUGGACCAUGGCACAAGGAAUGCCUCCGUGUACACAAGUUUUACCGGCUUUACAUGACAUUGUUUCUGCAGCUGCUAACACUACCCUACACCAGCUGGUUCAGGUUUACACACAGCAUUCAGUCGCUGCCCUGAUGACAUCAGAACAAUCUCGCCACUGGACUCAAGCACGACUAGGGAGGUAUGAGGUCUCCCUGUUGGCCAGUCCAUACCUGACCUUCCACAAUUGUACAACUGUUAACCCAGCUUCUUUUCUGACACAGCCACCUUCAGAGAUCUCGGAGCCUGAUCAUGACCAUCUACAGAGAAAUCAUCUUCUAACUUCAGCUCGUGAGGAUUUAAAGGACUGUCCGAUUGGUGGAGCUGUAACCUGGUUUGUGGAUGGCUCAUCCUUUAUAGAUGACCAAGGCCGGCGACGAUCUGGUUAUUCAGUCGUACAGGGAACUGAUAGGGUAAUAGAAGCUGCAGCCUUUCAGCAUUCUGUCUCCGCACAACGAGCUGAGCUGUUUGCUUUAACAUGUGCCUGCAUCAAAGGAAAUGGUAUUUCCCUUAACAUUUACACAGACUCGCGAUAUGCCUUUGGGAUUGCCCAUAACUUUGGUCAUUAUGGCAGCAUCGUGGAUUUUUGACUUCAUCAGGCGAUAGAAGAAUGCUUUGUUUAUUUCAAACCUCCUGCGUCCCUGUCCCAACCGUCCCACCUAGCAAUCAUUAAGUGUGGUGCACACACUAAAGACCAAGAUCUCAUUUCCCUGGGAAAUGCCUACGUGGAUACAAUCGCGAAGGCCAUUGCUAUCUAGGGACCCCUUACCGUUUAUUCAGAUGAAAACAAACAACUCUUGAAUAGAACGGCCCUGCCUGACAUGGGGAGUGUAGUGAAACUUCAGGAGGAGGCCUCUGCAAAUCACAUUGAAUUAUGGAAACAGCAGGGGUGCGCUAGAGAUCCUGACACAUGGUUAUGGACCACCCCUGCUGGACAAGUUUGUGUACCAGAUGCAUUUUUACCUACUUUACAUUCACAGGUUCGUAACGCUCAGAGAAAGGAAGAGGACAGAACAGAGGAAUCGAGGAUCCAGCCUGGAGAUUACGUCUUGAUAAAAAAUUGGGAGCAUAAAAAGUUGGCACCAAGAUGGAAAGGCCCCUUUCAAGUGCUACUCACUACGCCCACGGCGGUAAAGGUCGAAGGACGACCUCGGUGGAUACAUCAUUCCGACUGCAAAAAGAUUGGUCGAGGGAAAGGACAACAUGUUGGGGGGAAAAUGGACAAUUAGUGCAUCCAUAAGUAUCCUGGGACUAGUUUUUAAUAGUAGUACUUUUAUCAUUGUUGUAAUCAUUCUAGCACACCGUCUCUUUCCGUUAAUGGCACAGUCUUGUACUCAGUCUCUCGCUUCGUAGAGUUGUCUAUUAUCAUGAAAUGAUAAAGAGGAGGGAAUGUAAAAGAUAGCUGGCAGUGUAAGGGUUAACGACUGGCAGUGUAAGGGUUAACAGUGUGCUUCUCAUUGUAAGCGGGUUCUCAAGGUAAAGAAUGAUCUCGUACAGCGGGAUUUAGCUUUGUUUAGUUUCAAUGCCAGAUGCAAGUGGGGAAGAGGUAGUUUUGUUACACUAGAAACUUUAUGUAAACAGUUGCCUGUGUAAGUGUAACUUCCCACUUAGUUUUCCCUCGAAAAUGGGUAUAAAGGUACACUGUAGCCGAGUCCCCUUUGAGUGGGUUUCGGUAUAGAGUUAAGGUUACAUGGUUUACUCUCUCUCUGUAUUCCCCCACUCCCACUAGCGAAAGCUA